UACAGAGGGGGCAAGCGUUGUUCGGAAUUACUGGGCGUAAAGGGCGCGUAGGCGGCCUGUUAAGUCGAACGUGAAAUCCCCGGGCUCAACCCGGGUACUGCGUCCGAUACUGGCAGGCUUGAAUCCGGGAGAGGGAUGUGGAAUUCCAGGUGUAGCGGUGAAAUGCGUAGAUAUCUGGAGGAACACCGGUGGCGAAGGCGGCAUCCUGGACCGGUAUUGACGCUGAGGCGCGAAAGCCAGGGGAGCAAACGGG
rnacentral:rRNA from 1 species